CAGCACCGCGGUAAUACAGAGGGUGCGAGCGUUAAUCGGAUUUACUGGGCGUAAAGCGUGCGUAGGCGGCUUUUUAAGUCGGAUGUGAAAUCCCUGAGCUUAACUUAGGAAUUGCAUUCGAUACUGGGAAGCUAGAGUAUGGGAGAGGAUGGUAGAAUUCCAGGUGUAGCGGUGAAAUGCGUAGAGAUCUGGAGGAAUACCGAUGGCGAAGGCAGCCAUCUGGCCUAAUACUGACGCUGAGGUACGAAAGCAUGGGGAGCAAACAGGAUUAGAUACCCCCGUAGUCCCUGUCUCUUAUACA
rnacentral:rRNA from 1 species